CAUUGAGAAGCUAUGUACCAGCACUAGCCUUUUAAGCUAGAGAAAGAGGACGCACAACACCCUCCUCAAUGA
rnacentral:tRNA from 1 species